CGACCUCCGAGGCUUUCGAGGCAGUUUCCGGCCAAACUACGGCGAACUAGGUGUUGGGAAAGGUACCAUUCUCUUUGUCUCUUCAAGGGCUACAACUUUCGUUUUUGAAUCACUUGAUUUCGUUGAGAAAUGACAAAGUUAUGGUAAUUUGAAAAACUGCCCAGAAAACGGCCGCCGGAAAAACCAGUCCGGCGACCCAAGGAAGAAGAAGGUGCUACAGUAAAAAAUAAAAAUAAAAAUAAAAUUAUUUUAAAAAUAUGUCGACGUCCGUGACGUCGAGUAGAUCACCGUGGUAUAUUCAUAUACCCAAAUUGAACACCGUAUGAGAAAGUUAUUGAAGAUUGUUGGUUAGGUGUUCAAAUAACGUUUUAUAGUUUUCACAUUUAGGUGAAAAUGUGAAUUGAUGAUCCGACCGUUGGAUCGUCACCAAACUUUGAUACGUUGUAAUACGUAAUAUUUGAGGAUUAUUGGAACUUACGGAUUGGGAAUCCGAGUUACGGAUCUUCCGGAAUUGGAAUUGUAAGUCCAUAAUAUAAAAUGUUAACCGUCACUUAGUUUUGGAAAUUGACGGAGAUCCGACCGUUGGAUGGUAAUGAAAUUUUAGGAUGUUGUCCUAGAGGUAUAAUGUGGACCUCUGGAAGUUAUGGAUUUAAAAUCUGAGUGGCAGAUCUUCCGGAUCGAUCUACGUAGUGACGUAUUUUAUAUAAGUUAUAUAUUCUAUCGAUAUGAAUUCUGAGGUUGGAUUUGAUUACUGUUCUAGGCGGCGAUCGUCAUGACGCCUUGAUGUGUGGUGCUAGGGAGUUGUUGGACGAACUCCAGGUGAGUGGGCAGUUUUGUUUUCCGUAUACAUAUAUAAUUGACGUUUCCCAGAAAUUGAAAAUGUUACGAAAGUAUGCUUUAAAUGCAAAGUAUAAAAGUAUGUUUUCAAAUGCCAUGAGUAGAUUAUAUGAAAGAUAUGAUUUGAGAUAUAUUAGUUGAAAUACCAUGCUUAGAAGUAUGUGAAAAGUAUAUAGAAAUGUGAAUCGAAAUGCCAUGCAUGAAAUGAUAUGAAAAGUAUGAAUUGAGAUAUGAUGCAUAUGUAUGAAUUGGUGCUGUGGACGCACAGGUGAGUAUCAGGUGAGUAUAUUACUGCUAUGAUGAUGUUGAGAUAUAUUGAGCUCAUAACCUGCACCUUGGUAUUAGUGCUUAUUAUUAUUCACCGCAUCGCAUGCUCACCUUGGAUCCAAGUAGAUGCUAGUCGUACAGACCACCGGGGGUGGUUCCGACAUGCCAGUCGUACAGACCAUUAGAGGGGUUCCGACUGGUAGGUGACCUUAGAUUAUGUGCACAGAUGAUUGAUGAGAAAAGCACUAGAGCAUAUUAUUACACCAUUAAGUCGUACAGAUUACAUUAGGUAAUUCCGACUUAUGUGCAGUGUAGUGCCGUACAGGUCAUACUAGGUGACUCCGGCAUGGCCGAACAGGUCACAGUUGGUGACUCCGGUUAUAUGAGAUUUUGAGCUCUACAUUCAGCCGUACAGGACCAUUGUAGGGUCUCCGGUUGAUUUCUUUCUUGCACCUGAUAUGAUUAUUGCUGAUGCAUUCAUACUUAACUGUUGAAUUUAGACAUGGCAUGGCAUGAUUGAUAAAGAUAAAUGUUGAGAUAGUAAAAAUGAAGUUUUGAUAAUAUAUAUGUAUAUUUAUAUUUUACAUUUCUGGGAAAGUAUACAGGUUUUACGGAGAGGGGUUACAACGUUUUGAGAAAUGUUUGGAUUUGGAAAAGAAUUGUUUUACUGACCCACUCAAUUUUGGUUUUGCGCCCCUCCAGGUUCAUGAAUCACAAAGGUGUGGUGACUACGAGGAAUUCGACGGUGUUCUGACAGAUUGGACAAAAUUAGGACUCACUUUCGGGUGUAUCAACUUAGGAAUUGUAUCUUAAAGCUUCCGUACUGUGCAAAUGGUUACGUCACUCUCACGUGACGGCCAGCAUGCCCUCCUUCGGGACGGGGUGUGUCAGUUGGUAUCAGAGCAUGGUUGCAAUCUUGGACAUUUUGAGAAGUUCUAGUGAAUUCUGUCAGAACUACACCGCCUCGUAGCAAGCCACUUAGUUAGAGGAAUUUAGUCUCCCUAAUAUAACGGUUUAGGGGAAACUAUUAUUAUGGUGAUUCAGUCUAUUAUAAAAAGGGACAUUUUAAGAUGGGUUAUGAGUUGAAUUUGAAUCACUUAAGAGAAAUGAUGAACCUGAGGGAGCGAAGUAACGGUUUAACCAUUUGGAAAAGAUGUUUCGGAUUAUGCAAGUCAAAGGAAUCUUCCUUCUGACAAGGGGUCGAGAUGACUACCUGGUUUGAGUUAUGAACGUGUAUCCUGAUGGAAGCAGGAGUAUUAAUUGUUGUCAUCGGAGGAACAGCCGAUUUAAAAUUGUUUAAGGACUUGUUUAAGGAAAAGUUUAUCCCUCCGGCAUUUAUCGAUGGUAGUAAACAAGAGUUUACAAAUAUGAGACAAGGAAGGUGAUGAUCGAGGGAUAUUAUAGAAAGUUUUCAGACUUGCCUUGUUCCAUCCAGAUAUUGUUGUUAUUGGUGGAGGUGUUAUGUUGUUUUAAGCUGGGUGGCAAAAAGGGAAGUGGUAUUUUGGGUGACCACUAUCCAUUGUAGUUCUUAUCAGGAGUAUGCUAGAUGUUGUUGAGUCUUGAGGACUCUGAGAACAUGAGCAACGAGAAUAAAGAAGAAUAAGAAAUGAAUGGGAAUUUAAAGAAGACGAUAAAGUUAAUGAUUCGUCAUAUCAAGGAGAUAGAAAGAUUCAGAGCUUCGAAAGAAGUGAAGCUAGAGUUAAUUCUUCCAGCUGAGGUUUUAAUGUCGCUGGUCAGAGUAAAAGUGAUGGAUAUACUGGUAAUCCCAGAUAUUUGAGACAAGGUGUCUCGAGUAAAGGAAAUGUACUUUGUGCAGCAGGUACAAAAUUAACACUUUGGGAAAUGUGAAAUUAAUGAAUGUGUUUAUGUAAACAGAGGGGACACAUAAUUGUGAAUCGUCCCUAAAAUCAGUUGUACUCAACAAUUUUCCAUGAUAUCAUAGUGUCAAUUCAGCAGAGUUAUGGACUUAGUAGUUUGGUUGGAUUGACCAUGAGUACCGAGAGAUUUGAUGAGUUAUAUGUUCAGCCGUACAGGCCAAAAGAGGUGGAUCCGGCUGACACAUGAGAAAUUGGUGAGUUAUAGGCUCGGCUGUACGGACCACAAGAUGUGGAUCCGGCCGACGUAUUUACUGGGGAAUUGAUGUGUAAGUCGUACAGGUCACUAUAAGUGACUCCGACUAAUGUGCUAGCAUAGAUGGUUGAGCUGGAGAAUCAGCCGUACAGGUCAUUCUAGUUGACUCCGGCUGAUAUAUUUCUGAGUAUGGACAAUGAUGCCAAAGAAAGUAAUGUUGGAACGUGAUAGAGGCGUAUAUGUGUAUUCUAAUGAAAAAAAAAAAUGAUAGUAUUACACCUUUGGGAAUUGUUGCUUACUUAUCGAGACAACGAUGAUUUAUCAGUAUUGCGGGCUGCAGACCGUAAUAUUAAUAACUCAUUCGUGGAUUCGUUAAGCAAGCAAACCGGUAUUUUAUUUUAUGUUAGUGUUGUACUUAUUUAGAAUGUUCAGUAAUAAUAAAGUAUGUAUUGGGUCAGUUAAUUUUAUUCCAUUAGAUUGAUUAUUUAUAGUUGUGACUAGAUGGAAUAUUACGGGAAACCAGUUACUUUCCAUCGAUCUGGAUGACCAGAGAUUACUUUUGUAAGUAUGCAAAAUGGAUUGAGUCAGGCCGUUAUUUAUGCUGUGAGAGCAAAGAGAUUGUUUUCGAAAGGCUGUCAAAAAUACUUAGCUCAUGUGGUGCUAAAUGAUGUUGUUUGGAGUAGUGUGAAUAAUGUCGAAAGAGUUAGACUUUUCUUGAUGUCUUCUCUGAAAGUAUACCUGGAUUGUCUUCAGGCAGAGAUAUGAGGUUCAUUAUUGAUUUGUUGCCAGGUAUAAAUUUAUGUUAAAGAUUGGUUCAUGAUGAGUUAAGGGAAUUGGAAAUUCAGUUGAGAGAAUUGGUUGAUAAAAGUUUUAUUCAACCUAGUACAACACUGUUGAGGAGCACCAGUUUGUUGGUGAGAAAGGAAAUGGACUUAGAGAUUGUUCAUUGAUUAUAGAUAAUGGAAUCGGGUAACGAAUGAGAACCGUUAUCCAUUGUGGUGUAUUGACGCUCAUUUGAUCAGUUCAAAGGUGCUUGUAUAUUUUCAAAGAUUGACUUGAAUACUGUUUAUUAUCAAUUGAAGAUUAUGAGUUAUUGGAUGAAGUAUUCCAAUAAUGCCUUGAUAAAUAGAUAUCAUUUUCAUUGAAGAUAUUCUGGCAUAUUCUGAGCCAGAGCAGAACAUGUAAACGUAUUAAGUCGGUGGAACAAAGAUUGGAAGAAUGUCGGUUGUAUGCUAAGUAGCAAAUGCUAAAGUUAGAUGAAUCAUGUGGCAUUCUGAGAAUUGUUAUAUAUUCUUAAGGUAUUCAAGUGAAUCCUUAAAAGAUAGCAGAAAUUGAGAAAUUGGAACAACCACAAGCCAUAAUUGAGAUUCGGAAAUUCUUAACUUAUCAGGCUAUUUUGGAUGGUUGUGAAAGAAUUUUUAGUCAUUGUUUUGUCAUUGAUGAGACUGUUGAGAAAGGAGGUUAUGUAUGAGUGGGAAGGAAAUUGUGAGCAAAGGAUUCAACAACUGAAGUAUUUCCUCACUCAUGCACGUAUUUUAGUAAUCCCAAAGAAUAAUGGUAAUCAUAAAUUUUUAGUGAUGUUUCUUGAAUGGUAUUGGAUGCAUGUUGAUGCAAAUGUUAGGGUGAUUGCAUACGUUUCACGACAAAUGGAAUCUCAUGAGAUGAAUUACCCUACUGGUGAUUUGGAAGUCACGAUUACCAUCCUUGCUGUGAAGUUAUGGAGACAUUCUAUGUUGAUAAGAAUGCAAGAUUUUACAAAUCAAAAGAGUCUCCAAUAUUUGUUUACUUGGAAGGAUUUUGAUAGGAGGCAGCGAAUGUGAAUUGUAUUGCUUAAUGAACAUGAUUGUACGAUCAGGGUGAUCGUAAAGUUUGUUCUAACUGAAGCACUUGGUGAGAAGACUACAAUAAGAUUAAUGUCUGGCACGUUUGCCAAGAGUAUCAUCUUGUGGAUUGAAACCAACGGAAGAAAAAUUAAGAAUGGAAGAUCGAGAAGAAGUUAUACUUGUUAAAUUUCAAGUUAGGCCUGUUUGGUAAGGUCGUACUUGAAACUUAAAUGCUUGACGAAGAAAUUUAAGAAUUAACCAAGGUAGAGAAAGAAGGUAAGUUAAAUCCUAAGUUAAUCGGACUUAAGUGAUUAUCGAAAAGUUGGUGAAGUUGCUUACAAGCUUGUGAUGCCCUCAGAAUUGGUUAAGGUGCAAAACAUAUUUUAUGAUUCGAUGCGUUGUCACUAGGUGGCAGAUUCGUCACAUAAGAUUCUGGUGUAACUAUUGAGAAUUAAAUUGGAUUCGACUUGAUAAGGAACCAAGGACGACUUUGGAUUGGAAAAAGAAGGUCCUGAGAAAUUAAGACAGAGUAAGUAGUAGUAAAAGCUUUGUGAAGGAAAUCAUUCAGUAGAAAAGUAUGUGGGAGAAAGAGAAUCGGAUGAGAAAGAUUUACCCGAAGCUAUUGUUGGAGUAUGGUUUGAUUUUAGUUGGUUGCUGGAAUUUCGGGGACGAAAUUCUAUAAGGAGGGAAGAUUGUCACAGCCCGUCCCGGAAUUUUAAUUCCGAGGACAUGAAAAGACGAAAAUGCCCUUAAACGGGACUAAGGGGCGAAAAUUUAACAAUUUGGAUUGAGUUGGACACGUGGGAUCCCCACACCCCUCAAUCCUCUCCCUAUUUUCUGCAUACUGUCUCUCUCUCCUCCCUCACGAAUCUCUCUCUCUCUGUCACUCUUCUUCUCCGUUCGAACAAACCAACCACAAAACAACCUUAAACUUCCACCAACGACGGAGUUAAGACUACCAUCGAACUCCUGGAGACUCCACGAUCACGUAGACACCAAUUUCAGGUAAGUUUUACUUCGGAAAACCUAGAUUCUAAACUCCCCGUGAAAGUGCACUGUUCAUGAUCUUCGAAUUGACUUUGUUUUAGGACAAUCCAAGCUCACAGUGAGCUUAGUGAGGUUCCAAGGAAGCUCGGAGUGCUUCGUUGGAAGUUUUUGGACGUAAGAACACGGAGAUCGAUAAGUUCAAAGUUUGGCCGGAGCUUUCGAGGCAUUUUCCGGCGAAUCCCCGGCGAGUUAGGCGUCGAGGUAGGUAUCAAUCUCUUUCGUCUCGUCAAGUACUACAAACUUUCCUUUUUGUUUCACUCAAUUUCGUUGAGUAUUGAAGAAGUUAUACUCAUUUGAAAAAUACCCAGUUUCCGGCGACCUCCGAGGCUUUCGAGGCAGUUUCCGGCCAAACUACGGCGAACUAGGUGUUGGGAAAGGUACCAUUCUCUUUGUCUCUUCAAGGGCUACAACUUUCGUUUUUGAAUCACUUGAUUUCGUUGAGAAAUGACAAAGUUAUGGUAAUUUGAAAAACUGCCCAGAAAACGGCCGCCGGAAAAACCAGUCCGGCGACCCAAGGAAGAAGAAGGUGCUACAGUAAAAAAAUAAAUAAAAAUAAAAUUAUUUUAAAAAUAUGUCGACGUCCGUGACGUCGAGUAGAUCACCGUGGUAUAUUCAUAUACCCAAAUUGAACACCGUAUGAGAAAGUUAUUGAAGAUUGUUGGUUAGGUGUUCAAAUAACGUUUUUAUAGUUUUCACAUUUAGGUGAAAAUGUGAAUUGAUGAUCCGACCGUUGGAUCGUCACCAAACUUUGAUACGUUGUAAUACGUAAUAUUUGAGGAUUAUUGGAACUUACGGAUUGGGAAUCCGAGUUACGGAUCUUCCGGAAUUGGAAUUUGUAAGUCCAUAAUAUAAAAUGUUAACCGUCACUUAGUUUUGGAAAUUGACGGAGAUCCGACCGUUGGAUGGUAAUGAAAUUUUAGGAUGUUGUCCUAGAGGUAUAAUGUGGACCUCUGGAAGUUAUGGAUUUAAAAUCUGAGUGGCAGAUCUUCCGGAUCGAUCUACGUAGUGACGUAUUUUAUAUAAGUUAUAUAUUCUAUCGAUAUGAAUUCUGAGGUUGGAUUUGAUUACUGUUCUAGGCGGCGAUCGUCAUGACGCCUUGAUGUGUGGUGCUAGGGAGUUGUUGGACGAACUCCAGGUGAGUGGGCAGUUUUGUUUUCCGUAUAUACAUAUAUAAUUGACGUUUCCCAGAAAUUGAAAAUGUUACGAAAGUAUGCUUUAAAUGCAAAGUAUAAAAAAGUAUGUUUUCAAAUGCCAUGAGUAGAUUAUAUGAAAGAUAUGAUUUGAGAUAUAUUAGUUGAAAUACCAUGCUUAGAAGUAUGUGAAAAGUAUAUAGAAAUGUGAAUCGAAAUGCCAUGCAUGAAAUGAUAUGAAAAGUAUGAAUUGAGAUAUGAUGCAUAUGUAUGAAUUGGUGCUGUGGACGCACAGGUGAGUAUCAGGUGAGUAUAUUACUGCUAUGAUGAUGUUGAGAGAUAUAUUGAGCUCAUAACCUGCACCUUGGUAUUAGUGCUUAUUAUUAUUCACCGCAUCGCAUGCUCACCUUGGAUCCAAGUAGAUGCUAGUCGUACAGACCACCGGGGGUGGUUCCGACAUGCCAGUCGUACAGACCAUUAGAGGGGUUCCGACUGGUAGGUGACCUUAGAUUAUGUGCACAGAUGAUUGAUGAGAAAAAGCACUAGAGCAUAUUAUUACACCAUUAAGUCGUACAGAUUACAUUAGGUAAUUCCGACUUAUGUGCAGUGUAGUGCCGUACAGGUCAUACUAGGUGACUCCGGCAUGGCCGAACAGGUCACAGUUGGUGACUCCGGUUAUAUGAGAUUUUGAGCUCUACAUUCAGCCGUACAGGACCAUUGUAGGGUCUCCGGUUGAUUUCUUUCUUGCACCUGAUAUGAUUAUUGCUGAUGCAUUCAUACUUAACUGUUGAAUUUAGACAUGGCAUGGCAUGAUUGAUAAAGAUAAAUGUUGAGAUAGUAAAAAUGAAGUUUUGAUAAUAUAUAUGUAUAUUUAUAUUUUACAUUUCUGGGAAAGUAUACAGGUUUUACGGAGAGGGGUUACAACGUUUUGAGAAAUGUUUGGAUUUGGAAAAGAAUUGUUUUACUGACCCACUCAAUUUUGGUUUUGCGCCCCUCCAGGUUCAUGAAUCACAAAGGUGUGGUGACUACGAGGAAUUCGACGGUGUUCUGACAGAUUGGACAAAAUUAGGACUCACUUUCGGGUGUAUCAACUUAGGAAUUGUAUCUUAAAGCUUCCGUACUGUGCAAAUGGUUACGUCACUCUCACGUGACGGCCAGCAUGCCCUCCUUCGGGACGGGGUGUGUCACAAAUAAUUCAAAACCUGUCUCUAACUCUCUGAUCCAAUGAUCCAAAUAAUUAAGUAAUGUUAACAAUUACAUGUUAAUUUUUUUUAAGUAAUUAAGUAAUGUUAACAAUCACCAUGUUUUAUAUUAGGAUUAUUUUAUUAUCAAAUUGGAUUAUUCAUUAAAUUGGAUUAUUAUCAAAUUUGAUUAUUAUUCAUCACCAUGUUUUAUAUUAGGAUUAUUUUUUUAUGAAAUUGGAUUAUUAUUCAUUAAAUUAGAUUAUUAUUCAUUAAAUUGGAUUAUUAUCAAAUUGGAUUAUUAUUCAUCACCAUGUUUUAUAUUAGGAUUAUUUUUUUAUGAAAUUGGAUUAUUCAUUAAAUUGGAUUAUUAUCAAAUUGGAUUAUUAUUCAUCACCAUGUUUUAUAUUAGGAUUAUUGUACUAAUUCAUUAUAUAUAAAUUAUUAUGAUGUGUUUAGACUUCUUUCAUUAAUUACUACAUAUUUUCUACAUUCACAAUGUUUGUCAGCUAGCUAUAUAAUCAACUUGAUAAUGCUAAAUCCAUCAUGCAAUGCAUUUCUUUCCAAUUUUUUGUGAUAAACUAAUAGAUAAUUGACUAAAU
rnacentral:lncRNA from 1 species